UCAAACGUGCCGUUAUGGUUAUGGUGUACAUUUUCCUUUUUUCUCUUUUUUGUCUUCACAUUUUUUUAUUCAAUUUAGUCAAUGAAAAUUCUGUUACUUUAGCGAAAUAUAAAAGAAUUAAUUUAUGUAAUCUUAACAGCAUUAGCAUUUUAUGUACUUAAACCAUUCAAUUCGACUGUUGAUUUUGGAUUAGAAGACCAUCAGAUCACGGGCAUUUAUCUAAUUCCGUACAAGUGGUUGAGCUGUGACUAUUCCGAUAUUUCAUAUUGAGUAUCAUUUGGACGGCUUCAGCUGAAGAACAAGGUUGAGUUGAAUCAUGUCGUGUUACGGGCUGUUCGGUCAUAUUUUUAUUUGACUGAAUUAAUGAGCCCCACAAUGGAGGACCAAGUAGCCCAUAUAAGGGCCGGGCUUUUCUCCUUCACUACAUUAUUUAUUAAUUUAUUUAUGUUUUCAAAAGAUGCCAACGAAAACAUAUAUAUAUAUAUAUAUAUAUGCACAAUAAAAAGUUUAGUGGACAGCACUCAUGUUUUGCCGACAGCUUUGGUAAAAGUAAAAACAUUUUUGUACGGGUAAUCUAACCAAACAUCGAUCCUUUCGACCCUAUAAAAGAAAUGCGCGGGGACCCUUGGCGAAUUCACGCAUAUACCCUUCAAUCCUUACCUUAGUUCUCUGGGGUAGUAUGAAGGGCAAAAACGGAAUAACAUAAAAGCGAUAAAAUGAAAAACAAAAAAAUGGACAAUGAAAGCCCGGGAAAAAGUUCAGCUGCUCGUCCAGUCACUUCUUGAGAGUGACAUGGGGAAGACCACUUCUCUCUCUUUUCGCCCAAAAAAAUAAAAAUCACUCCAUUGGCGUUUGCUCCCGGUGAGGCGCGCCGGCGGCGGCCAAAAGCCGGCCGCCGCCCCCUCUCCGGUCGAAUGUGAAGCUGAUGGUUUAGCCGCUGUCUCUUUCAUGCUCAACACAUGCAGACGCACGCAGACAAAAACCUUCCUGUCUCUGCUUGUUUGCAUCAAAGCGUGGAAACGUUUAGGUUCCGUUUGUUUCGCUUUUGAUUCUUCUGAUAGAGCUCCCCCAGCUCCGGCGUCGCCAAGGAAUACUGCAUGGGACUGUCCGUAUCUUGGCUUGGCGAUUCUGGGGCAUCUCGCAGCCAUGGCGGGGUUCUAUCAUCACUUUCACGGUUUGCUGUUGUAGGAUGCCAUAAGAGUUUUUUUUUCUGGAUAUGACUUAGAAGAAAUGGCAUUGUCCACAUUCUUCAUUCAGGCAAUGGUUGGCCAAAAUAUCCUUUUGGCUCUUGAAAUUUUGCUGCUCGGUGUAAGAACAAUUUUUUGAGUAUGUGUCUCUGCUUCUGAGAAGCUGCUGGCAUUUCGGCUUCAAGAAAACAAUCACAUGCCUUGAGGGUUAUUUCAAACUUGAA